UUAGUUUAAUUCUGACUAAAAAAUUAGUACUUAUAAAAAAUUUUAUGCUUAACUUAAGUAAAUCUAUACCAUAUAAAUACAUUAAAUAUUUAAAUAUAUACAUAUUUUUAGCAGAAGUUAGGAUUAUAAUAAUGCGUUAAAGCGUGAAAUGGUUUAAAUACACUUACUGGUAAAGUUUGUGCCAGCAACAGCGGUUAUACAAUAAAUAGCUAACAACCAAAAUCUGUAAUGAUAAAAUAUAACUUAAUAAAAAGUGAAAUUUCCUUAAUCAAUUAAGUGCCAAAAUUAUCAUUAAUAAACUAUAAACUAAAACAAGGAUUAGAUACCCUUUUAUUAUUAGCUCAAUAUAAGAUUGGGGACUACAAGCAAUAGCUUAAAAACCUAAGAAUUUGGGGGUGUUUUAUUCAAUCAGGGGGACCUGUACUUUAAAUCGACAAUCCACGAUAAACUCUAUCUAAUUUUAAUAAAUUAAUAUAUAUUAACUUGUGUACUGCCGUUUUAUAAGCCCUUUAGGAUCUCUUAUAAUCAAUUAAAAAAAAAAUAAAAAGUCAGGUCAUAGUGCAGUUUACGGUUAGAUAGUUCAUGGGUCACAUUUUUAAAAAUAAAUUAGUAUUAUAAAUUAAUUUUUAUGAUAAAUUUAGAACUUGAUAGUAAUUAUAAAAUUAUUUAUAUUAUAAUGAAUAUGAACCUAAAACAAGUACAUAUCGCCCGUCACUCCUUUAUACAGGAUAA
rnacentral:rRNA from 1 species